rnacentral:rRNA from 1 species
GUGAACGCUGGCGGUAGGCCUAACACAUGCAAGUCGAACGGCAGCACAGUAAGAGCUUGCUCUUACGGGUGGCGAGUGGCGGACGGGUGAGGAAUAUAUCGGAAUCUACUUUUUCGUGGGGGAUAACGUAGGGAAACUUACGCUAAUACCGCAUACGACCUACGGGUGAAAGCAGGGGAUCUUCGGACCUUGCGCGAUUGAAUGAGCCGAUGUCGGAUUAGCUAGUUGGCGGGGUAAAGGCCCACCAAGGCGACGAUCCGUAGCUGGUCUGAGAGGAUGAUCAGCCACACUGGAACUGAGACACGGUCCAGACUCCUACGGGAGGCAGCAGUGGGGAAUAUUGGACAAUGGGCGCAAGCCUGAUCCAGCCAUACCGCGUGGGUGAAGAAGGCCUUCGGGUUGUAAAGCCCUUUUGUUGGGAAAGAAAAGCAGCAGGUUAAUACCCCGCUGUUCUGACGGUACCCAAAGAAUAAGCACCGGCUAACUUCAUG